AAGUGCUGGGAUUAAAGGCUUGCGACACCACGCCCGGCUACUUAAACUACCAUUUUUAUACUUAAUUUUAAAUAUAGAUUUGCAGGUUUGCCUUUGUAACUGCUUUUUUGUCUUUUCCUUUUUCAUUCAUCUUUUUAUUCUUUCCAAAUUUACUUUACUACUAUUUCUGUGUAUUAUAUAUUAGGUAUGGGUGUGAAACAUGGCUAAUAUUCAAAUAGAGGAAAUAGACAUGCCAUAUAAACUGUAACAAAAUUUCUUUAAAUUUUCUUUUUAAAAUAAAUUUUGAAGUUUGUAUCUUUGAAUGUAAGCCACAUGUAUUGGGUGAUCUUGUAGACCAGAAGAGGGUGUCAGAUCUCUUGGAGCUGGAGUUGCAGGUGAUAGAGAGAAGAGCCUUCUGAUGUGGGUGUUAGGAACCAAACUGAGGUUCUAGAGGAACGGCAAGUGCUUAAUGCUGUUUUGUCAUAUCUGCUGCAGCAGACAGUUUCUCACGUUGCUCCUUAUUGGUUUGAAACAACAGGCAUCCCUGGUCUUUUUGCUUCUGUUUUAUGAAAACACAUUUACUUUGUAUCAGUCAUUACAUAGACUGGUAGUUGAAUUGGAGGAGUUUUGCUGUUUUUAAUUUUCUGCUUGUGUAUAUAAAAAUAGAAGUGUGAUUAGAUCUUUCUUCCCAGUUACCCAGUAACCUUACCACAGGGUUAGUUCUGCCCUCCAUACUCUUAUUUCUUUCUAUCCAGUUACUUUUACAAAAUUCUAGCUAUUGUCUGCUCUGGACUAGGAAUAAUUUCAUAUGUAUCUGGAAAUGAAAAUAUGUAGGAAAUAAUAUUUUAGUUAGUUAAACUUCCAUGUGCUAUCUUUGUAUAUUCUGGAAAUAGUACCUUUGUUCUACUACAUCCUCUUUCCUUUCCUUUCCAGUUUUUUUUUUUUUUUUUUCUGUAAGAUUUAUUUAUUUUAUUUAUGAGUAUACUGUAGCUGUCUUCAGACACACCAGAAGAGGGCAUCAGAUCCCAUUACAGAUGGUUGUGAGCCACCAUGUGGUUGCUGGGAAUUGUACUCAGGACCUCUGGAAGAGCAGCCAGUGCUCUUAACUGCUGAGCCACGUCUCUAGCCCUGCAUCCUUUCUUAUCUAUGUUUGAAAUCUAUAUUUUUUUAAAGGAAAGACUUCCUACAGUGGUAACAUUACUCUGGGAUGUAAAGUCUCAAAAGCAUACUAGAGAGAAAUUUUGUGACUGUCCAAUUUCUUUUUUUUUAAGAUUUAUUUAUUUUAUGUAUGUGCAUACAUUGUCGCAGUCUUCAGACACACCAGAAGGUGGCAUUACAGAUGGUUGUAAGCUACCAUGUUGUUGCUGGGAAUUGAAUUCAGGACCUUUGGAAGAGCUCUUAACUGCUGAGCCAUCUUUCUAGCCCGACUGUCCAAUUUCUAAAAGAAACAUUAAAGGUUAGGUUUCAGUUUUAUGGAUAGGCCUUGUGUCUUCCUUUGCAUUUCAGGUAGAAAAACAAAAACAAAAACCUAAAAACUGACAGUGUUUGUUGCUCAUGGUAAAAUUUAGUACUUAAAAGAAAUAUUAGAAUUUUGUAAUAUAACCCCGCUCUGGGAUGGUCUUUUUGAAAUGCUGUUACAUGAUUGUGACAAAUGGUGUGAAUGGGUCUCGUGUUUUCUGAACACUGAUAAAUACAUAUCUACCUUUUAAUUUGUUUCUUACUGUAACAAUUUUUAUGGUUAUAAAUGUUGCCUGGGAUUCAAAUCAAUGUUGUUUAUGUUGAUGGAACUUAAAGUCUCAAACUUUAAGUUGAUUGAAUAUUUAUUGUAUGUUUUAGGAUGGCCCCAGAAGUAAUUUUAGCCAUGGAUGAAGGACAGUAUGAUGGCAAAGUUGAUGUAUGGUCUCUUGGAAUAACGUGUAUUGAAUUAGGUGAGCAUUGGUUUUUAUUAUUAGGGAUUAACUUUUUUGGUGUUUUGUUUUUUGUUUUUUUGUUUUUUUUGAAACAGGAUCUCACUGUGUAGCCUUGGCUGGCCUACAACUUGCUCUGGCCAGGAUGGCCUGAUUCAUAGAGCUUCAUCUGCCGCUGCCUCCUGAAAGUUAAGAAUAAAAAAUUCAUGUCACCAUACCUAGCUGAAUUAAGUUUUGAUUCAGUGUUUUAUUUCAAUUAAUAUGUUAAAUUAUGUUUUUAUCUUAGAUUUCCAUUUUUAAUUAUUUAUUAUAUAUGUAUGGGUAUUUUUUAUCUGCAUGUAUGUCUGAGUACCAUAUGAAUGCCUGGUGUCUAGGGAGACCAGAGAAGCGGGUGUUGGAUCCUCUGGAGCUAUAGUUGCAGAUAGUUUUGUACCUCCAUUUGAAUUUUGGGAAUUGAACUCAGAUCUUCUGGAAGAGCAACCAGUUCUCUUAUCCACUGAGCCAUCUUUUCAGCCCUAGAUUUAAGGGGAAAAAUAAAUUACUUAAAGCUUUUGCUUUGAUUGUCUGCUAGUUUUUAUAUUAAUGUAGUAUGUAUUAGGUUAAAUACAUACUGUUAAGUUAGCUCUAAAAUCUUUCUUCACUGUGGUCUUAAAUUUCAAUGACUGAUGUUGAUUAAUGUUUAACACUUAGCAUACACCUAAUCCACAUUUAUUAUCUAUAGAAGGUUUUUAAAUCAUGAAUUAUUUACUACUAUAUAAGUUGCUUUUAAGAUUAGAAGUUGGAUGUGCAUUUUUGCCCUGGUUGGAUAGGCUCUAACUACUAUUACUGUAGAGACUGAGUCAGGAGGCUUGCACAUUAAAGGUCUGCUUGACAAGAUACUGAAUUCAAAGUGGCUUGGGAAAUUGAGUAAUACCUGGAACAACCAUCAAAACCAAAACAAAUCAAAACCUCCCAUACCUUUAAUCCUAGCACUUAGGAGGCAGUGGCAGGUGGAUCUUUUAGUUUGAGGCCAGCCUGGUCUACAAAGUGAAUUCUAGGACAGCAAGGGCUAUGUAGAGAGAGAAACCCUGUAGCUACAAGCUAUAAACCAAACCAAAACAGAACUCAAAAGACUAGGGGAAUAGCUGGUCACGUGCGUGUCCAGCAUGCAUAUGUCCCUUUGUUUAAUUUCUGGUGUACUUGAGCAGUGAAAAAUGUUGUUAGGCUUUCUUUUUGUUGUUAAUUUCUUUCUUUUUAAAACACAAUAAGCCAGACUUAAUUCAAGUGAAACCAUAGUGGUUAUAGACAUGCAGUUCAGUUUGGAGUUCGGAAAGCACACAUACAAGAUAAUAAGAAAUAAGACCUGAAAUUUAA
rnacentral:lncRNA from 1 species